GAGAAAAAAAAAGAUGGAAGUAGAGCUCCUUGAAGUUCAAACGAGAGUUGAGCAGGGUAAAGAAAAGCUGCUAAGCUAUGGAUCCCAUAAGCCCUAAUCCUUAUAAAGAAAAAAAAGGAUUUGGUUAUAUGGCUUGCAUAUCUCAGGAGCUUUAACUUGCCCUUUAAUGGCUUUUACUCUUCUUUGGAUUGAAGGGAGCUCUACAUCUUCUUUCACCUUCUC
rnacentral:pre_miRNA from 1 species